UUUACCACAAGAGAUAAGAACAAGCAACAGAAGUGGCCUUGGCUCAUAGAGACCAUGCCUGUUUGCUGUGACCACACCACGCACACCAGAUCUCUUUGCAGUUGUAUGGAAAGAGAAGAGCCUGAAGAAUCUUUUGAGCGUGCAUCAGCAUGUCCUGACAGUGCAAAUGAAGCAUGCGUUCAUGUCUGCAGUGUAUUUAUUCUGCUUGGAAUCUCACCAGGAAAGCAUGGAAUUUGGUAUCUAGAGCAAAAUUUGGCAAACGGAGAAUGUCGGCUUCCUCCGGUGACAUUUGCAGCUCAUAGGGCUGUAGAGAGAAGUAUGGAAAUAACUGUGGACGUUGCUUGCUGAACUCUCAGAGAAAGCCGGUGAAAAGACUGAGCAGUAUUGACAGGCAAACUCCCCUCACUGCUUUUUUAAAUUU